rnacentral:rRNA from 1 species
AGCAGCCGCGGUAAUUCCAGCUCCAAUAGCGUAUAUUAAAGUUGCUGCAGUUAAAAAGCUCGUAGUUGAAUUUCGGGACCAAUAUGUCGGUCGUGCCUCGGUACGUACUGGCAUCGUUGGUUUCUCCCUUCUGACGAACCAUGAUGUCAUUCAUUUGGUGUCGUGGGGAAUCGGGACUGUUACUUUGAAAAAAUUAGAGUGUUUAAAGCAGGCUCACGCUUGAAUACAUUAGCAUGGAAUAAUGAAAUAGGACGUUUGAUUCUAUUUUGUUGGUUUCUAGGGUCGACGUAAUGAUUAAUAGGGAUAGUUGGGGGCAUUAGUAUUCAAUUGUCAGAGGUGAAAUUCUUGGAUUUAUUGAAGACUAACUACUGCGAAAGCAUUUGCCAAGGAUGUUUUCAUUAAUCAAGAACGAAAGUUAGGGGAUCGAAGACGAUCAGAUACCGUCGUAGUCUUAACCAUAAACUAUGCCGACUAGGGAUCGGAUGAUGU